GAGGCUGCUGAGGGCGGCGCUGGAGAUCGCGGAGGAGGUGGCGGAAGCCUUCGACCCGUCGGUUCCUCUAUCUCUUCGCCCGUCUCGGCCGUGCCCUCCGCGGAUCGUCCUUCACCAGCGACGAGAUCGUCUCCAAGAUCCGCGAGCUCCGCCGGCGCUACGAGGAGAAGUGCUACAAGAUCCGCGUCGGCGCCGACAUGGGCGACUUCAAUGUCGCUGCCUUCGAGAUCAGUGACAGGAUCUGGGGUGGCGGCAUCGCAGGCGCUGUGACCCAGAAGAGAC
rnacentral:lncRNA from 1 species